AGGCAAGAUGUUGGCAUAACUGACAACAAUUCGAAAGGAUUAAUUUCAGUUACGUUAGCACUUACCAGA
rnacentral:pre_miRNA from 1 species